ACCGAUAUAGGGUUCGGAGAGGGGCCUGCGUCCGAUUAGCUAGCUGGUGGGGUAACGGCCUACCAGGGCGACGAUCGGUAGCUGGUCUGAGAGGAUGAUCAGCCAGACUGGACUGCGAGACGGCCCAGACUCCUACGGGAGGCAGCAGUUAGGAAUUUUGGGCAAUGGGCGAAAGCCUGACCCAGCAACGCCGCGUGGGCGACGAAGGCCCUCGGGUCGUAAAGCCCUUUUCCAGGGGAAGAUAAUGACGGUACCCUGGGAAUCAGCCCCGGCUAACUACGUGCCAGCAGCCGCGGUAAUACGUAGGGGGCAAGCGUUGUCCGGAUUUAUUGGGCGUAAAGCGCUCGCAGGUGGUUCAUUGCGUCGUGCGUGAAAGACCCUGGCUCAACUGGGGGGAGUCGUGCGAAACGGGUGAACUAGAGGCCAGUAGGGGGAUGUGGAAUUCCGGGUGUAGUGGUGGAAUGCGUAGAGAUCCGGAGGAACACCAGCGGCGAAGGCGGCAUCCUGGACUGGUCCUGACACUCAGGAGCGAAAGCGUGGGGAGCGAUCCGGAUUAGAUACCCGGGUAGUCCACGCUGUAAACGAUGAGUACUAGGUGUUGGGGGUAUCGACCCCCUCAGUGCCGAAGCUAACGCGAUAAGUACUCCGCCUGGGGACUACGGCCGCAAGGCUAAAACUCAAAGGAAUUGACGG
rnacentral:rRNA from 1 species